GGGAGCUAACACAUGCAGCCGAGCGGUAGAGAUCUUUCGGGAUCUUGAGAGCGGCGUACGGGUGCGGAACACGUGUGCAACCUGCCUUUAUCUGGGGGAUAGCCUUUCGAAAGGAAGAUUAAUACCCCAUAAUAUAUCGACUGGCAUCAGUUGAUAUUGAAAACUCCGGUGGAUAGAGAUGGGCACGCGCAAGAUUAGAUAGUUGGUGAGGUAACGGCUCACCAAGUCUGCGAUCUUUAGGGGGCCUGAGAGGGUGAUCCCCCACACUGGUACUGAGACACGGACCAGACUCCUACGGGAGGCAGCAGUGAGGAAUAUUGGACAAUGGGUGAGAGCCUGAUCCAGCCAUCCCGCGUGAAGGACGACGGCCCUAUGGGUUGUAAACUUCUUUUGUAUAGGGAUAAACCUAGAUACGUGUAUCUAGCUGAAGGUACUAUACGAAUAAGCACCGGCUAACUCCGUGCCAGCAGCCGCAGGUAAUACAA
rnacentral:rRNA from 1 species